UGCUCUGUAACUCUGGUUCCUUCCCCAC
rnacentral:piRNA from 1 species